rnacentral:rRNA from 1 species
GAUGAACGCUGGCGGCGUGCCUAAUACAUGCAAGUCGAGCGAACGGACGAGAAGCUUGCUUCUCUGAUGUUAGCGGCGGACGGGUGAGUAACACGUGGAUAACCUACCUAUAAGACUGGGAUAACUUCGGGAAACCGUAGCUAAUACCGGAUAAUAUUUUGAACCGCAUGGUUCAAAAGUGAAAGACGGUCUUGCUGUCACUUAUAGAUGGAUCCGCGCUGCAUUAGCUAGUUGGUAAGGUAACGGCUUACCAAGGCAACGAUGCAUAGCCGACCUGAGAGGGUGAUCGUCCACACUGGAACUGAGACACGGUCCAGACUCCUACGGGAGGCAGCGGUAGGGAAUCUUCCGCAAUGGGCGAAAGCCUGACGGAGCAGCGCCGCGUGAGUGAUGAAGGUCUUCGGAUCGUAAAACUCUGUUAUUAGGGAAGAACAUAUGUGUAAGUAACUGUGCACAUCUUGACGGUACCUAAUCAGAAAGCCACGGCUAACUACGUG